rnacentral:rRNA from 1 species
GCCAGACUCCUACGGGAGGCAGCAGUGGGGGAUAUUGCACAAUGGGGGGAACCCUGAUGCAGCGACGCCGCGUGGGUGAAGAAGUAUUUCGGUAUGUAAAGCCCUAUCGGCAGGGAAGAAAUUGGACGGUACCAGACUAAGAAGCCCCGGCUAACUACGUGCCAGCAGCCGCGGUAAUACGUAGGGGGCAAGCGUUAUCCGGAUUCACUGGGUGUAAAGGGAGCGUAGACGGCCAUGCAAGCCUGGAGUGAAAGCCCGGGGCCCAACCCCGGGACUGCUCUGGGAACUGUGCGGCUGGAGUGCGGGAGGGGCAGGCGGAAUUCCUGGUGUAGCGGUGAAAUGCGUAGAUAUCAGGAGGAACACCGGCGGCGAAGGCGGCCUGCUGGACCGCGACUGACGUUGAGGCUCGAAAGCGUGGGGAGCAAACAGGAUUAGAUACCCGUGUA